AGAGUUUGAUCAUGGCUCAAGAACGAACGCUGGCGGCAUGCCUAACACAUGCAAGUCGAACGAGACCUUCGGGGUCUAGUGGCGCACGGGUGCGUAACGCGUGGGAAUCUGCCCUGGGGUGCGGAAUAACUCGGAGAAAUCCGUGCUAAUACCGCAUAAUGUCUCGGACCAAAGAUUUAUCGCCCUGGGAUGAGCCCGCGUAGGAUUAGCUAGUUGGUGGGGUAAAGGCCUACCAAGGCGACGAUCCUUAGCUGGUCUGAGAGGAUGAUCAGCCACACUGGGACUGAGACACGGCCCAGACUCCUACGGGAGGCAGCAGUGGGAAUAUUGGACAAUGGGCGAAAGCCUGAUCCAGCAAUGCCGCGUGAGUGAUGAAGGCCCUAGGGUUGUAAAGCUCUUUUACCCGGGAUGAUAAUGACAGUACCGGGAGAAUAAGCUCCGGCUAACUCCGUG
rnacentral:rRNA from 1 species